UGUAGGAGUGAGCCUGCUCGCGAUGGCGUCCUGUCAGUUGGAAAUUUCCUGACUGACACUCCGCUAUCGCGAGCAGGCUCACUCCUACA
rnacentral:antisense_RNA from 1 species